AAGACAACUCUCAACAACGGAUAUCUUGGCUCUCGCAACGAUGAAGAACGCAGCGAACUGCGAUACGUAAUGUGAAUUGCAGAAUCCCGUGAAUCAUCGAAUCUUUGAACGCAUAUUGCACCCAAGGCUUCGGCUAAGGGUAUGUCUGCCUCAGCGU
rnacentral:rRNA from 1 species